rnacentral:rRNA from 1 species
UGGUUGAUCGCGUCGGAAGUGUAAUCUUGGGGCUUAACCCUGAGCGUGCUUUCGAUACGGGUUGACUUGAGGAAGGUAGGGGAGAAUGGAAUUCCUGGUGGAGCGGUGGAAUGCGCAGAUAUCAGGAGGAACACCAGUGGCGAAGGCGGUUCUCUGGGCCUUUCCUGACGCUGAGGAGCGAAAGCGUGGGGAGCGAACAGGCUUAGAUACCCUGGUAGUCCACGCUGUAAACGGUGGGUACUAGGUGUGGGGUCCAUUCCACGGGUUCCGUGCCGUAGCUAACGCUUUAAGUACCCCGCCUGGGGAGUACGGCCGCAAGACUAAAACUCAAAGGAAUUGACGGGGCCCCGCACAAGCGGCGGAGCAUGCGGAUUAAUUCGAUGCAACGCGUAGAACCUUACCUGGGUUUGACAUGGAUCGGGAGUGCUCAGAGAUGGGUGUGCCUCUUUUGGGGUCGGUUCACAGGUGGUGCAUGGCUGUCGUCAGCUCGUGUCGUGAGAUGUUGGGUUAAGUCCCGCAACGAGCGCAACCCUUGUUCACUGUUGCCAGCACGUUAUGGUGGGGACUCAGUGGAGACCGCCGGGGUCAACUCGGAGGAAGGUGGGGAUGACGUCAAGUCAUCAUGCCCCUUAUGUCCAGGGCUUCACGCAUGCUACAAUGGCUGGUACAGAGAGUGGCGAGCCUGUGAGGGUGAGCGAAUCUCGGAAAGCCGGUCUCAGUUCGGAUUGGGGUCUGCAACUCGACCUCAUGAAGUCGGAGUCGCUAGUAAUCGCAGAUCAGCAACGCUGCGGUGA